GUAGUCCACGCUGUAAACGAUGGGUACUAGGCUUGGUGGGUCUUGACCCCCGCUGAGCCGGAGCUAACGCACUAAGUACCCCGCCUGGGAAGUACGGUCGCAAGACUAAAACUCAAAGGAAUUGACGGGGGCCCGCACAAGCGGUGGAUCAUGUGGUUUAAUUCGAAGCAACGCGAAGAACCUUACCUGGGUUUGACAUCCUUUGACAUCCGUAGAGAUACGGCCUCGAUAGCAAUAUCGCAAAGUGACAGGUGCUGCAUGGCUGUCGUCAGCUCGUGUGGUGACAUGUUGGGUUAAGUCCCGCAACGAGCGCAACCCUUGUCUUUAGUUGCCAGCAUUCAGUUGGGCACUCUAAAGAGACUGCCGUGGUUAACACGGA
rnacentral:rRNA from 1 species